rnacentral:rRNA from 1 species
AGAGUUUGAUCCUGGCUCAGGAUGAACGCUGGCGGUCUGCUUAACACAUGCAAGUCGAACGCAACCUUCGGGUUGAGUGGCGGACGGGUGAGUAACGCGUGAGAAUCUGCCUUAGGGUCGGGGACAACCACUGGAAACGGUGGCUAAUACCGGAUAAGCCGAUUGGUGAAAGAUUUAUUGCCCGAAGAGGAGCUCGCGUCUGAUUAGCUAGUUGGUGAGGUAAGAGCUCACCAAGGCAGCGAUCAGUAGCUGGUCUGAGAGGACGAUCAGCCACACUGGGACUGAGACACGGCCCAGACUCCUACGGGAGGCAGCAGUGGGGAAUUUUCCGCAAUGGGCGAAAGCCUGACGGAGCAAGACCGCGUGAGGGAGGAAGGCUCUUGGGUUGUAAACCUCUUUUCUCAGGGAAGAAGCUCUGACGGUACCUGAGGAAUCAGCCUCGGCUAACUCCGUGCCAGCAGCCGCGGUAAUACGGAGGAGGCAAGCGCUAUCCGGAAUUAUUGGGCGUAAAGCGUCCGCAGGUGGCGAUUCAAGUCUGCUGUCAAAGCACGGGGCUUAACUCCGUUAAGGCAGUGGAAACUGAAUAGCUAGAGUGCC